AGCAGUGUGCUCAUCCAGAACCCUGAGCUACAAUGGUAAUUGGGGAUCGAUCUCAAAGCUGGGGGUAAGAGCAAAAACACCAAACGAACAGAACCUAAAUCCAAUGAUAUCUACCUCAAGCUCCUCGUCAAGCUAUAUCGCUUCCUUGUCAGAAGGACUGACAGCAAUUUCAAUGCGGUAAUACUCAAGCGCUUGUUCAUGAGCAAGGUCAACCGACCUCCAAUUUCUCUGUCAAAGAUGAUCGAGUACAUGAAGGGGAAGGACGGUAAAAUUGGUGUCGUUGUGGGGGCUGUGACAGAUGAUAUCAGGGUAUAUGAAGUCCCAGUAUUAAAAAUUGCUGCCCUUAGGUUCACAGAGACGGCACGUGCUAGAAUAGAGAAGGCAGGUGGUGAAUGCUUAACAUUUGAUCAACUUGCCCUAAGAGCUCCCCUGGGACAGAACACGGUCCUACUAAGAGGCCCAAAGAAUGCUAGGGAAGCAGUAAAACACUUUGGUCGUGCUCCUGGUGUGCCACACAGCCAUUCCAAGCCGUAUGUAAGAUCAAAGGGAAGGAAACAAGAGAAAGCCAGAGGAAAGAGGAAGAGUAGAGGAUUUAGGGUUUGAGUUGAUAAUUUUUUUAAGUGUCUUUCUACAGUUUUGAUACUUCUGAAAUUCAACUUUUAUCAGUUUUGCAUGUGUUAUAUUUAUUGUUACAUAUUCAGUAUUAUUGAGAUUGUUAUACAUGGCCUUGCUUUUAACUUGAAUUUGAUGUCUGCCAAUAAAUGGGUAUUAAG